CAGGCCUCCCUCUGCUUGGUUCCAGUCGUGGGCAUGAGUGAGGGGCGAUGCUUGAUGGCUUUGAUGCCAUCGGUGGGAAUGUGUUUAAGCAUCGGCCUUCCCUCAUGACCACGAUGGUCUACAGUCUUGUGUACGAGUUAGUGACGUCGCUUGUUUGUUUUGAUGCUUGCGUUGGAACUUGCUUAAGCAACCGACCUGACGAAGUACCCAUGAAUGUCACCCAUGAUGGUCUACAGUCUUGUGUACGAGUUAGUGACGUCGCUUGUUUGUUUUGAUGCUUGUGUUGGAACUUGCUUAAGCAACCGACCUGACGAAGUACCCAUGAAUGUCACCUAUGAUGGUCUACAGUCUUGCGUACGAGUUAGUGACGUCGCUUGUUUGUUUUGAUGCUUGCGUUGGAACUUGCUUAAGCAACCGACCUGACGAAGUACCCAUGAAUGUCGCCCAUGAUGGUCUACAGUCUUGGGUAUGAGUCAGUGACGAUGCUUGUUUGUUUUGAUGCUUGUGUUUGAACUUGCUUAAGCAACCGACCUGACGAAGUACACAUGAAUGUCGCCCAUGAUGGUCUACAGUCUUGGGUAUGAGUCAGUGACGAUGCUUGUUUGUUUUGAUGCUUGCGUUUGAACUUGCUUAAGCAACCGACCUGACGAAGUACCCAUGAAUGUCACCCAUGAUGGUCUACAGUCUUGCGUACGAGUUAGUGACGUCGCUUGUUUGUUUUGAUGCUUGCGUUGGAACUUGCUUAAGCAACCGACCUGACGAAGUACCCAUGAAUGUUGAGAGGCGGAAGGCAGGGGAGUGCAAACACUAGUCGGCCUUUUCCCCGAUUGCGGAGUGUUAUGUGCUUGAUGUCCAAGGCUUGAUGCUGAUCCUCCAGUGGGGCUUGUCCUUGCACCAAUGGCUUUUGCCAGGAUCAUGGCGUUUGUUGUGAUCGAAAAAAUGAGGGGGUGAUGUUGAGGGCUGGAAGGCAAGGGGGUGCAAACACCAGUCGGCCUUUGUCCCGAUUGUUGAGUGUUAUGUGCUUGACGUCCAAGGCUUGAUGCUGACCCUCCAAGUGGGGGCUUUUUUGUUCUUGCGGUAACGACUCUGUUGGGAUCAUUGUGAUCAAGUUUGGUUGGUUUCGUAUUGUGGUGGGUUUUUUCGAAGCUUCUAUCGUUCUUUUACGCAUCGUGCGGUGCAUCUUGGGGGCUGUUUUGGCUUUUGGUUGCUUGCUUGGGCUUUAUGCUAGGCGGGUGGCUAAU
rnacentral:misc_RNA from 1 species